GACGAACGCUGGCGGCGUGCCUAACACAUGCAAGUCGAGCGGGGUUGAGCGAGAGGUAACUCGAACUUCUACCUAGCGGCGGACGGGUGAGUAACGCGUGGGCAACCUGCCUCAAGGUCUGGGAUAACAGCCCGAAAGGGCUGCUAAUACCGGGUAUGCUUGUGGCCUCGCAUGGGGCUACGAGCAAAGGGGAAACCCGCCUUGAGAUGGGCCCGCGUCCCAUCAGCUAGUUGGUGAGGUAACAGCUCACCAAGGCGACGACGGGUAGCCGGCCUGAGAGGGUGACCGGCCACACUGGGACUGAGACACGGCCCAGACUCCUACGGGGGGCAGCAGUGGGGGAUCUUGCACAAUGGGCGAAAGCCUGAUGCAGCGACGCCGCGUGAGCGAAGAAGGCCUUGGUUGUAAGCUCUGUCUGGAGGGACGGAACAAAAUGACGGUACCUCCGGAGGAAGCCACGGCUAACUACGUG
rnacentral:rRNA from 1 species